rnacentral:rRNA from 1 species
UACGUAGGCGGCAAGCGUUGUCCGGAAUCAUUGGGCGUAAAGGGAGCGCAGGUGGGACGGUAAGUCUUUCUUAAAAGUGCGGGGCUCACCCCCGUGAGGGGAAAGAAACUAUCGUUCUUGAGUGCAGGAGAGGAAAGCGGAAUUCCUAGUGUAGCGGUGAAAUGCGUAGAUAUUAGGAAGAACACCAGUGGCGAAGGCGGCUUUCUGGACUGUAACUGACACUGAGGCUCGAAAGCCAGGGGAGC